UAGAAUUGCAGGUUUUUCAAAGCGGAGUGCCGGAUUAUUUAAGAACGUACGGCACUUCUCUGUCCUGUGCGAAUUCCUCGUCUCCGGCGGCAAGCUCUUCGAACGGCGGUACCAACAGGAAUACUUCUUGCAAUAACCAAGAUUCAAAACAAGUAAAGAGCUUCUACAGACGAUGAACAAGAUACAGUUGAUGAAAUAGAAAAUAUCAACCCUCCAAGAAAGACACAGUUGAUAAUGUAGAAAAUAUCAACCCUUCAAGAAAGGUAUGCUUCUAACUUUGAUUUUUCCGUACAGAAACUAUAAGGUCCAUUGCAUAUAUAAAAAAAUCACAUGUCCCAACUUUUCACAUCUCAUUGGUGUCUAACAAUUACAUGAGUACACGUAAGAAAAGAAUUUUAUUGGUGGGAAAGGUGAUUUCUAUCCCUAUUACGUAAGUUCACAUACAUAUAUGUGUACACAUAUGUAUAUAUUGUAUAAUAGAACGCCACACCAAGAUGCAACAUUUUGACCUUUGACAACUAGGAGGCUGUUUGGUUCAUGCUGGAAAAUGGAAAUGGAAAUGAAAAUACCAGGAAUGAAAAAUUGGGCUUCUAGUGAAAUGAGCCUCUUAUAUUAUAUACCACCAAACAGUUUUUUUUAUUUUCAUUCUAUUGUGAAACCAAACACCCCCUAAAUUAUAUUUCUAUUAUUGUUGGUCUUUUUAGUAGGUUGUCCCAAUAGCUGGUCACUGAACCUUCACCAGGAUUAGAACUACACUGUUACUACCAUAACUCUAAGCUUCCAAACCUCAACUUGCCUAAACAAUCAUUCUUCAAUGAAUUUACAAUUAAUAUAUUCACAACUGCAUAUCCCUUGGGCCUUCCAUAUCCCAAGCUUAGAUGGGCAGUGGAACUAGCAUAUUAUGGUUCCACAGUCCCAGGGCAGCACUGCUGUUGCAAAGGGACAUUGUACCUUUGAUGCCACAUCUGUUUUGCUGAAUAGAUUAAAUACAGUUACAUAUAAUGUACACAAAAUAUGAGAUAAAUAGGGUACUAACUGUACCUUGCAGCUCUGCUCAUAUGAUUGCAGUUGAGGAUUCCCUGUGUCCAAUCCUCUAACAAACAGUGAGUUGAACAUUUUACAUAAAAUAAGCAAACUCACAUAAACAUCUUGUGGUCAUAACUUGAAAAGAUGUAAACUCCUUGCUUUAUUGUCUGUGGAGGCUAAUUCACCUGGUUAAUUGCAAGGUCGUUAAGAUUGAUGCCUUCCCUCCCUCCCUCCCUCCCUCCUGAGACCUUAUUUCCCCAUCCACUGGAUAACAACACCCCCAAAAUAAACCCAAAUCCAUCAAUCUAAUCAGUAUCUAUAAAAGUUAAAAAGUGAAGAGAAGAUGAAAAUUGCCACAAAAACUUUGAUACAGUACUUCCAUCAAAUACCCUUUUUGGAAAGAUAAGCACAUAUAGAGGUGAGAUCUAUAAUUGUGUAUUCUAGUUGACAUGAACACUGUCUUGCGAUUUCUAUAUAUGGAAGGAAGGAAGGAAAGAAAGAAGAGAAGAGACGCAAUAGAAUGAUUCAGGCAGGGGAUUGAUUGAUACUUAACGACCUUGCAACUAACCAGAUCAAUUCCAUCUCCAAUCAAUUGAACCAUAUAUAGCAACUAUGCUAAUUUUGUUGUGCCAAAGAAACUAUUUGCCCAUCUAUCUAUAUAGAUCUAUCCUCUUUGUGUGUGGAAGGGUGUCGGUAUUUAUGGCAGAGUGGACACCUAGUCUUGUUAUGAAAGAGCUUCACCCUUAAGCAAGCUGUAUUUUAUGUCUUUUUUAAUCUCCCCCAACCCAUGAAAAUGACCGUUUUAUUGGAGUUGGCAAAUAGCUUCAUAUAAUUAUACCCCUAUAGCCUGUAGUCUAUACUCAAUAUUCUAUACCUAUCAUCUUUCUAAUGUCUCCAAGUUAUAAAUUAUGAUGAAUGUGUCCACCUCAAAUGUAUCUCAGGCCAACUGGAAAUCUAAUUUAAGAUCAAAUCAUAGAGGUGAUCAUCCUAAUUAACACAUAAAAGGAAAUCUUUUAUGUGGGAAUGGAAAUAGUAAGUUUU